CAAGUCUUCGUAGAGAAGAAUGAAUUAAUAAAAUAAGACCUGGGAGAUUAACAGAAUGAUGACAGACAGAUACGAACAAAAUAAGAAGAGGAAGAGAUAUCGCUAAGGAGAGGAAGGGAGGGAAAGUAGAAACAAAUUAAUAAAAACAUGUAGAAAAAGAAAAUGAGUUAAAGUAGAGAUGAAUGAAUAAAAUAAGACCUGAAGAUUGACAGAAUGGAGACGGACAGACAGAUGAACAAAGUAAGAAGAGGAAGAGAUAUCGCUAAAGAGGGAGGGGGAAGUAAAAACUAUAAUGAACAAAAGCAUCCAGAAAGAAGAAAAUGAGUUAGAGUAGAGAUAUGAAUGAAUAAAAUAAGACCGGGACGUUGACAAAAUGGAGAUAGGCGAACAAAAUAAGAAGAGCCGUGUUCUCAUCUGCUUCUAUUCUCAUUCUCGUUCCGUCCUUCAUCAGGAAGGUCUCCGGAUCUGAACAGCGAAUCAGACAGCUUCCUUCGUCAGGAGGGUCUCCUGGUCUUCUUUUCUCAUUCUCGUUCCCGUCCUUCGUCAGGAGGGUCUUCUGGUCUUCUGAACAGCGAAUCAGACAGUUUCCUUCGUCAGGAGGGUCUCCUAGUCUUCUUUUUUCCUCUAAGUUGUUCCCCCCACAUCGCCGCUACCUCCGUCAGGAGCAUCUCUUCCAUUCUGAGUCCCGUAUUCGUAUGUAACAGACUGUAAUCACUUAAUAUGGGCGAAAAGCACGCUGGAAAUGAAUGUUUACUUCUGUUUAAGUUGUUUACUAGUGCAACCAAGAAACGGGUUAUUUGAAGAACAGAAUUAAUGAAAUGAGUGUGUGCUUUACUCACUCAUUCGAACCAUUAGGAGUAGGGAAGCGAGACUCGACACACAUACAGACAGUCAGUUGCCGAGGCACUGUCACACUCACAGGUUACGGGCUCGAUCUCCACUACUUAAUAAGGAUGUACUUGAAUGAAACGUGGUUCCAAGGGUAUUUUUACGGUAACAGUGAGAAAUAAACAAGAUUUCUGUAUUGUUAACAGUAGAAACACUCUUGAGAACCGUGCUAACCAUCUGUGUGGCUUUGAAAAAUAGUCGUGGUGAGAACAAAGUAUUUCUGAACACGGGACAGUCAGUCAAAGAUUACUCUCUCUCUCUCUCUCUCUCUCUCUCUCAAUAUUCAUUCCCGAACAUCUAUGAUUCAUUCGAAGCAGUACGAAGUUCGAAGCCACGCUCAGCCAUCCUCCCUCAGUGCCUAGUUUGCGCCGCGGCGAGUGGGUCCACGCUGCUCGACAUCCUCGCUGCUCCAAGGGAAGAAUGAAAAGGAACCAUAUCGCAGUGACACUUGAUGCGACUGAUGUCCUUCAUAUAGGUUUCGAGUAAAUCUGAUGGUGAGACAAAUGGACAUGGACAAAUUCAACUGAACUGCAUCAUUUCAAAAUAAUUAUGAGAGGAACCACUGAGGCCACCAACACUAACAUCAAGACCAGUAUUAUCUGUAAAAAGCAGGAGGAAGAGGGGGAGACCAAAGAGAAGGUUUAUGGAUGCUGUGAAGGAAGACAUGCAAGUGGUGGGCGUAACAGAGGAAGGUGCAGAAGAUUGAGUGCAUUGGAGAAGAGUGAUCUGCUGUGGUGACCCCUAAAUGGGAGCAGCCAAAAGAAGAUCAGCCUUAGUCUUACAGGAGAGAAUCAUCCUCAAGUAGACAUCUCAAAACACCAUCAGUGCUUCAUAUUUGUGGAGAAGGAAGGAGCGCAAUGAAUGGUACAUCCCAUACUUAAGAACACUGACCCAGACACUCAGGAGAACUGUGAAGAAAGGAGAGGAUGCUUUAGGUUUCUAGGGACGUGCCAAUGCUCCCUGACGUCCAACCCUCUUCCUCCCCACUGGCGCGGUGAUGCCCGGCCAGCAGCACCCCGGCCUGAUACAGCCUCACCAGUGGCCCAGCACGCCCGGCAUCCCCACAGCCCCACGGCGUGGUCAUCCACCCCUUCCACACACCUCACCUGUCCCACCGUUGUCGCCUGAGUGCAUGACCAAGGAGUGAGGUGGCAAGAACAUAAUACCAGAAUAUACAUGAAAAAAAUAAAUAAAAAAAGUAACGAGAUAUAAGAAUAUGGACAAAAAAUAAGAAAUGGACAAAUGAAAAUACGGAAAAAAAUAAAAGAAUAACAAAGAAUGAGGAUAAGGGAUGGGAAAGAUAAGGACAAAAUUACAAGAAAGGGGACAAAUUUAUUCUCAAAUAAGGGAUGUUUAGUGAGAGCAUGUAAGAUGAUGAUUUCUUAAUUAAGAAAUCAAGUUUAUAUAUUAUUAAGGGAUAUUUUGUGAGUACAUAGAGAAUGAAAAGGAGAGAAAUGUUAAUUAGUUUAGAAAUAAAUAUACAUUAUUUAUAGUAUUAUCUGAAAGCUGGACAGAGUGAAGAGAAACUUUAUAGUUGAAAGAUGUAUUUGCUAUGUAUGAUGUCUGGAACAAGUGACAUGGGGCAAAAAUAAUAGUCCUGGAUGUGACAAUUUCAUAAGUGUAUUGUUUGGUAAUUGUGAUGAAGUAAGUUAUUAGAUGGAUAGGAUGCCAUGAGACAAAUUUUGGUGAUAUGAAGGAGCAAAGUUGAUUAGUGGUGCAGAGAAGUUUGCUCUCUCUCUCUCUCAGUCCACAGACCCACAGUAUGUCCCCCAAAGUAUGUUUACAAACCACAGUCACUCACCACAGCCUCUCUCUCUUAUACAACUUCCUCCUCCCAUCCUCUCUCU